rnacentral:lncRNA from 1 species
GGCAGGGCUUUUAAUAACUAAAAUAACUAAAUAAAUUGUUAUCAGGACACAGAAGAAAAAAAUACAAAAGGCAAAUCCUACUGCCCCAGCUUUGCCUCAAUCCUCCUCUUCAGUCUGAAGGCAUAUACUGAGCAUUGACUGUAAGUAGGAUUCUGCUUUCAUCCUCAUAGGAAAGAUAGAUCAUAAUCCAAUCAAUAAAUAAAGGAAUUGAUCAUAUGAGAGGUAAUGAGUGC